rnacentral:rRNA from 1 species
UACGAAGGGUGCAAGCGUUACUCGGAAUUACUGGGCGUAAAGCGUGCGUAGGUGGUUUGUUAAGUCUGUUGUGAAAGCCCCGGGCUCAACCUGGGAAUGGCAAUGGAUACUGGCAGGCUAGAGUGCGGUAGAGGGUAGUGGAAUUCCCGGUGUAGCGGUGAAAUGCGUAGAGAUCGGGAGGAACACCUGUGGCGAAAGCGGCGCACUGGACCAUAACUGACGCUGAGGCGCGAAAGCUAGGGGAGCAAACAGG